ensembl:ncRNA lncRNA:CR45561 long non-coding RNA:CR45561
UCAUUUCAGCUCAGUUCACUUUGGAAAAAUUUCGAAAUUUCGAUAAAAAUUCGACCUAAAUAUUUGAUAAGCAGUUAGUUCUCUAAAUCGCCGUAGCUUCACUUUAGAAUAUUCAUCUUUCUUUCACCAAAUUAUCUUGAACACCCUUUAAAGUGCACACAUUUAAUUAGCCGAAUUUAUUUUCGACAGUGUGUGCUCAUCAUCAGGGAGCGGUGGCCACAGAAACCGCCGUCUCAUGAUUUAAAUUUAAUGCAACUUUUGCUUUAUAGCCAAACUGUCGCGCACACAGACACACAUCACACAGAACCCCCACCCACCCACACACACACAUUAAUGUAAAAGCUAUAAAGUCAUGUGCAACACCAUUGCCACUUCCGGGCGGUGGCAACAGCAGCAAAACAGGAGCAGCUGCAGACCCAGGAGCAGGAGCAGGAGCGGAGCAGGAUCAGCCGCCGGUUCGGGACUCUCUGGCAGCUAUUUGGUCACUGCACUUAGUGCACUUCCUUUGCUCGCAUUGCUGGGGUUUUUCGCCAGCCAGGGAAAAGGGGUUAAGGGUUUUUUAAACUUGCUACUCAUUUCGGAUUGGGGUAGUUGGAAAUAAUACUGCAUUAU